rnacentral:rRNA from 1 species
CCUAGCCGGGGUCUUAUAAUGCAGUCGACGAUGAAGUUCCUUCGGGAAUGGAUUAGUGGCGAACGGGUGAGGAACACGUGAGAAACCUGCCCUUCAUUCUGGGAUAACACCGGGAAACCGGUGCUAAUACCGGAUACUCCGUCUUGGCGGCAUCGCCGAGCCGGGAAAAAAUUUUGAUGAAAGAUGGUCUCGCGGCCUAUCAGCUAGUUGGUGAGGUAAAGGCUCACCAAGGCGACGACGGGUAGCCGGCCUGAGAGGGCGACCGGCCACACUGGGACUGAGACACGGCCCAGACUCCUACGGGAGGCAGCAGUAGGGAAUAUUGGGCAAUGGGCGCAAGCCUGACCCAGCGACGCCGCGUGAGGGAUGAAGGUCUUCGGAUUGUAAACCUCUUUCAGUAGGGAAGAAGCGAAAGUGACGGUACCUAAAGAAGAAGCACCGGCUAACUAUGUGCCAGCAGCCGCGGUAAUACAUAGGGUGCAAGCGUUGUCCGGAAUUAUUGGGCGUAAAGAGCUCGUAGGUCGUUUGUCGCGUCGAUUGUGAUAAUCUGAGGCUCAACCUCAGACCUGCAGUCGAUACGGGCAAACUAGAGUGUGGUAGGGGAGACUGGAAUUCCUGGUGUAGCGGUGGAAUGCGCAGAUAUCAGGAGGAACACCAAUGGCGAAGGCAGGUCUCUGGGCCAUAACUGACACUGAGGAGCGAAAGUGCGGGGAGCGAACAGGAUUAGAUACCCUGGUAGUCCGCACCGUAAACGGUGGGCACUAGUUGUGGGAACCUUCCACGGUUUCCGCGACGCAGCUAACGCAUUAAGUGCCCCGCCUGGGGGAGUACGAUCGCAAGAUUAAAACUCAAAGGAAUUGACGG